UCCUACGGGAGGCAGCAGUGGGGAAUUUUGGACAAUGGGGGCAACCCUGAUCCAGCAAUGCCGCGUGUGCGAAGAAGGCCUUCGGGUUGUAAAGCACUUUUGUCAGGGAAGAAAUCUUUUGGGCGAAUACCCCGGAAGGAUGACGGUACCUGAAGAAUAAGCACCGGCUAACUACGUGCCAGCAGCCGCGGUAAUACGUAGGGUGCAAGCGUUAAUCGGAAUUACUGGGCGUAAAGCGUGCGCAGGCGGUUCGCUAAGACAGUCGUGAAAUCCCCGGGCUUAACCUGGGAACUGCGAUUGUGACUGGCGGGCUAGAGUACGGCAGAGGGGGGUGGAAUUCCUGGUGUAGCAGUGAAAUGCGUAGAGAUCAGGAGGAACACCGAUGGCGAAGGCAGCCCCCUGGGCUAGUACUGACGCUCAUGCACGAAAGCGUGGGGAGCAAACAGGAUUAGAUACCCUGGUAGUCCACGCCCUAAACGAUGUCGAUUAGUUGUUGGUUCUUCAUUGAAUCAGUAACGAAGCUAACGCGUGAAAUCGACCGCCUGGGGAGUACGGUCGCAAGAUUAAAACUCAAAGGAAUUGACGGA
rnacentral:rRNA from 1 species